rnacentral:rRNA from 1 species
CAGUAGCCGCGGUAAUACGAAGGGGGCUAGCGUUGUUCGGAUUUACUGGGCGUAAAGGGUGCGUAGGCGGAUUGUUAAGUUGGGGGUGAAAGCCCGGGGCUCAACCUCGGAACUGCCUUCAAUACUGGCGAUCUUGAGUAUGAGAGAGGUGUGUGGAACUCCGAGUGUAGAGGUGAAAUUCGUAGAUAUUCGGAAGAACACCAGUGGCGAAGGCGACACACUGGCUCAUUACUGACGCUGAGGCUCGAAAGCGUGGGGAGCAAACAGAAUUAGAUACCCCUGUAGUCCCUGUCUCUUAUAC